CUGACGGUAAGUUGCCUCUGUGAAGUUAGCUGUUUAUGUCAUGUGCUUAUGAGUACAAGUAAAUGAAGUUAGUUGAAUAAUGUAUUUUGUAAACAAUGUUUACAAAUUUUCUUUGCGGUAUUUGUGAGAAAAUAAUCGUGCUCCGUAAUUUUUUAAUUUUUGACCAAAAGAAACAUUACAAAAUGGUGAAACAUUGUAUUGUGCGUGGAUGUAAAAGAGAUUUAGCAUCUGAUCGCUAAAAUAGAAUGAAUUACUGAAAAACAAUUUGCGUCAAUCAUCUUUAUUCAAAGUACCAAACUACCAAAGAAUAACGUAUUGAGGGAAAAUGGGUAAAAGCUUUAUCACAACAAUUGACUCCAAAUCAGUUUGUGUGAGAAGCACUUUCGCGAAGAAGAUAUUAAGAAAAUUGAUCGAUUGAUUAUUAAUGGAGCUGAAAUUAUCAUCCCUCGCGAAAGGUGGACUCUUUUGAAUGACAAUGUCAUUCCAAUAAACCCUCACGAUUUGGAAAAGGACAUUUCUGAAGAGCAAGUUCCAAUAGUGCAAAAUGACAUUAAUAACUGACCAAUCGAAAACCUGGAUUAUACACAACCCUUGUUAAAAAUCGUUCAAGGUAACAAUUUAAAAGAAGAUUCUCAACCAGCAGGACCCCAUCAUAUGGAAUCACCAGAGAUUGUAACAGCUAAUAAUGUCAUUAUCUCGAACAUGUCUCCACCAUCAUGUGUUACACUAGAAGAGAUCCAUGCUCAUUUUCACUCAAUACUGAUCCAAGGAUGGUGUUAUUUUGCUUGUGAUGAAGAGUUGAUAUUAUAUAAGAUAUGAAUUUUACUAUUUCCAAUAAUCUUUCAGUGAAGGUUUCUUUCUCUCAACAACCAGAAAUUGUUAUUGAUACUACAUCAUCUAUAGAAGAUAUAAAAAUGUAUAUGGAAACUCUGCAAGCGACUAUUUCAUGUAAAGGAACUGACGUAUACUAUAGGUACGAUAUAUUUUCUUUCAUUUCUUUUAAUAUAAAUAAAAAUCUCAUACUAUUACACAUUCGGUGAAAAUUGAAAAUAAACUUAAAGAUUCACCUAAAUCGAGGCUCCAUCUAGAACUGUGACACCUGAAGUAAAAACAAGCAUCAAGUACAUCUUUUAGUAGUAGUGUGAAAAGAAAGAAAGUAUCUACAUUACCUUUGAAAAAUUCCAAAUCAUCUUGUAAGUCAAUAGAUAUGUGUUUUAGGUAGCAGAUUUUUUUUGUAAUUAUCUAACUGUAUGCAAAUGAACUUGUAAAUAAUGUAAAUACAUUUAUAAAGCAAUUUUA